AUUUGUGGCCAUGCCUCCUUGUCAAAGCCUGAUCUGGUCUCUGAAGCUAAGAAAGGCUGGGCCUGGUUAGAACUUUGAUGGGAGACCGCUGGAUUUUUAAAUAAUAAAUU
rnacentral:rRNA from 1 species